rnacentral:rRNA from 1 species
CCUACGGGGGGCAGCAGUGGGGAAUAUUGGACAAUGGGGGCAACCCUGAUCCAGCCAUGCCGCGUGUGUGAAGAAGGCCCUCGGGUUGUAAAGCACUUUCAGUGAGGAAGAACGCCUGGUGGUUAAUACCCAUCAGGAAAGACAUCACUCACAGAAGAAGCACCGGCUAACUCCGUGCCAGCAGCCGCGGUAAUACGGAGGGUGCGAGCGUUAAUCGGAAUUACUGGGCGUAAAGCGCGCGUAGGUGGCUUGAUAAGCCGGUUGUGAAAGCCCCGGGCUCAACCUGGGAACGGCAUCCGGAACUGUCAAGCUAGAGUGCAGGAGAGGAAGGUAGAAUUCCCGGUGUAGCGGUGAAAUGCGUAGAGAUCGGGAGGAAUACCAGUGGCGAAGGCGGCCUUCUGGACUGACACUGACACUGAGGUGCGAAAGCGUGGGUAGCAAACAGGAUUAGAUAUCCUAGUAGUC